rnacentral:rRNA from 1 species
UUUAUGGAGAGUUUGAUCCUGGCUCAGGAUGAACGCUAGCUACAGGCUUAACACAUGCAAGUCGAGGGGAAACGACAUCGAAAGCUUGCUUUUGAUGGGCGUCGACCGGCGCACGGGUGAGUAACGCGUAUCCAACCUGCCCACCACUUGGGAAUAACCUUGCGAAAGUAAGACUAAUACCCAAUGAUAUCUCUAGAAGACAUCUGAAGGAGAUUAAAGAUUUAUCGGUGAUGGAUGGGGAUGCGUCUGAUUAGCUUGUUGGCGGGGUAACGGCCCACCAAGGCGACGAUCAGUAGGGGUUCUGAGAGGAAGGUCCCCCACAUUGGAACUGAGACACGGUCCAGACUCCUACGGGAGGCAGCAGUGAGGAAUAUUGGUCAAUGGGCGAGAGCCUGAACCAGCCAAGUAGCGUGCAGGAUGACGGCCCUAUGGGUUGUAAACUGCUUUUAUAAGGGAAUAAAGUGAGCCUCGUGAGGCUUUUUGCAUGUAUCUUAUGAAUAAGGACCGGCUAAUUCCGUGCCAGC